rnacentral:rRNA from 1 species
AAAGCAUGGGUAGCAAACAGGAUUAGAUACCCUGGUAGUCCAUGCCGUAAACGAUGAUUACUAGGUGUUGGAGGAUUGACCCCUUCAGUGCCGCAGUUAACACAAUAAGUAAUCCACCUGGGGAGUACGACCGCAAGGUUGAAACUCAAAGGAAUUGACGGGGGCCCGCACAAGCAGUGGAGUAUGUGGUUUAAUUCGAAGCAACGCGAAGAACCUUACCAGGUCUUGACAUCCGAUGCAUAGCAUAGAGAUAUGUGAAGUCCUUCGGGACAUCGAGACAGGUGGUGCAUGGUUGUCGUCAGCUCGUGUCGUGAGAUGUUGGGUUAAGUCCCGCAACGAGCGCAACCCUUAUUGCCAGUUACUACGCAAGAGGACUCUGGCGAGACUGCCGUUGACAAAACGGAGGAAGGUGGGGAUGACGUCAAAUCAUCAUGCCCUUUAUGACCUGGGCUACACACGUACUACAAUGGCGUUUAACAAAGAGAAGCGAAGCCGCGAGGCGGAGCAAAACUCAAAAACAACGUCUCAGUUCAGAUUGCAGGCUGCAACUCGCCUGCAUGAAGUCGGAAUUGCUAGUAAUCGCGGAUCAGCAUGCCGCGGUGAAUACGUUCCCGGGCCUUGUACAC